UGGUAGUGGAUCAGUAUACCUCUGCUUAAACCAUAUAUUCUCUGGCCUAGCUGUUAGGUCCUGUGGGUGUUAAGAAGGAAAAAAAUCUAUUUUGUUUCCAUUCGAUAUAGUAUCAACAUAUUUUAUGGUCUUUCUUACAGUCAUUAAAAGAUUAUAGAACCAGUAGAGAGAUCACCUUUAUGACUUACUGGAUUAGUCAGUAGAGUGAAUGCCAAUCUGGACCUUAUAUUUUAAUUAACCCAGUGUUCUAAAACGUGCCUGAUUGGCUGUUUGUGCCUGGUGGUUUCUAGCACCAGAUUGCAGUUUCAUUGUUUGUUUUAUGAUCUUUUGCUGCUAAGUCUAAAUGUAUAUUCUGAUAGCUCUGCUUUGCUAUUUUCGUUAACUCUUCAGGUAAAGGUUUGGUUACAAUGAAGGGUUUUAACGGAUCAUUUCCUAAUGCUGCGUCAUCUGCUAAGUACAUUUGGAAAUAAAAUUGCUAGAGAGAGAGGAGCUCGCUGCUGGCGCAUCCUGAAGGGAGGAGCAAAGCUCUGUUAUCAUUGCAAGGUUGAUGAUAAUGGCAAGCACAACAGGUCGGCUGGGCAGGAAACAAAUUGUGACAGCAUAAACUUAUUUCUCGAGUUGCAAAGUUUGUGUUGUAUUAGUGAUGCGUUCCUCAGGAUUGAAAGUUUAGCCUGCUUCAUUAAAAAUAUUACAUUUUGUAAAAACUAUUGUUCGUUAGGUGGCUAGUCUCUGAUAGGGUCUCUUUUUUGGCAAGGGCCAUGUAUCUCUGUAUGUAUGUUCUUUUCUUUGUGAUUAAAAAUAUUCAGCAGAAGCCUCCUUGGUGUUUCCUCGCGGAAACAUAAAUACCAACAGUUCAUACGACUUUUCUUUCACUA